GGUUAUAGCUCAGUGGUAGAGUGCUUGCUUCCCACGUGUGAGGCACUGGGUUCAAUCCUCAGCACCA
rnacentral:tRNA from 1 species